rnacentral:rRNA from 1 species
AUUGAACGCUGGCGGUAGGUCUAACACAUGCAAGUCGAGCGGAGCGGCGGACGGGUGAGUAAUGCCUAGGAAUCUGCCUGGUAGUGGGGGAUAACGUAAGGAAACGGGCGCUAAUACCGAAUACUACCAGAUGAGCCUAGGUCGGCUUAGCUAGUUGGUGGGGUAAAGGCAUACCAAGGCGACGAUCCGUAACUGGUCUGAGAGGUUGAUCAGUCCCCCUGGAACUAUGUCACGGUCCAGACUCCUGCGGGGGGCAGCCUUGGGGAAUAUUGGGCACUGGGCGAAGUCCUGAUCCAGCCGUUCCGCAUGUGUGAUGAAGGUCUUCGGAUUGUAAAGCGCUUUAAGUUGGGGGGCGUUGCCGACAGCAUAAGCACCGGCUAACUUCGUGCCAGCCGCCGCGGUAAUUC